rnacentral:rRNA from 1 species
UACGUAGGCAGCAAGCGUUGUUCGGAAUUACUGGGCGUAAAGCGAGUGUAGGCGGUUUGGUAAGUCGGAUGUGAAAGCCCCGGGCUCAACCCGGGAAGUGCACUCGAUACUGCCAAGCUAGAGUAUCGGAGAGGUUGGUGGAAUUCUCGGUGUAGAGGUGAAAUUCGUAGAUAUCAGGAGGAACACCGGUGGCGAAGGCGGCUCACUGGGUCUUUUCUGACGCUGAUGCACGAAAGCUAGGGGAGCAAACGGG